GCCGGGCAUGGUGGUGCAUGCCUGUAGUUCCAGCUACUCAGAGGCUGAGACUGGAGAAUCGCUUGAGUCCAGGAGUUCUGGGCUGCAGUGCGCUAUGCCGAGCGGGUGUCCGCACUAAGUUUGGCAUCAAUAUGGUGACCUCCCAGGAGCGGGGGACGACCAGGUUACCUAAGGAGGGGUGAACCGGCCCAGGUCAGAAACAGAGCAGGUCAAAACUCCUGUGCUGAUCAGUAGUGGGAUCGUGCCUGUGAAUAGCCACUGCACUCCAACCUGGGCAACAUGGCGAGACCCUGUCUCU
rnacentral:SRP_RNA from 1 species